GCAGACUCAGUUAAUACACUAGGGCUGGGGCCUGGGAGAUAUCAUUGAGAAUUCGAGUUCGAGAUAGGGUAUUAGGGUUUGCUUACUGCUUCAGCCUUCGGUGCUUAGGAGAUAUCAUCGAGAACUCACUCCUCACAAAUUUAUGAUCCUCACCUUCUGAAUCGGGAGAAUCAUGUUUAUUGACAAAGACCAUAUUAAUUUGCUAUGAAUGUGGUAAAUCUGCGAUGUUCCACUUAUUACGUUUAACUUGGGAAAAAGUAGUUGUUUUACUUAAACUAUGGAAGGAGGUAACUUAAUUUCUUGUUGGAGUCUGAUGUAUUUUUAUUUGGACGCGGUAAUUUAUUUUCUUGAACUUUUGUUUUGUGGCAGGAGUAGGACCUCUAAAUUCUAAUAUCAUUAUUGUGGCAAAACAUCUGCGUCAUUAUCAAUCAUGAAUUACCUGGAAUACACCCCUCUUGAUCGGUAAGCUUUGACAUGUAAUGACAUUCAAAUACCUGGAAUACACCCCUCUUCACUGAGGCUCGGUGCAAUCACGCACAACACUUCAUAUGUUUACUAUUUUGCAACACCCUAUUAUGGAACUUUUUUUUAGCAUUAAGGGCUGAUUGGUGAGAAAAUAAUACAAUUUUGUUAACUUCAUUAAAAGAAAAAGGAAUCCAUGUAUUUAAGUUUAAAAUAGAAGGCCUCUUUUAAUAUUGGCUGAUGAGGUAAUUGCUUUUAUGAACAUGCUCUGGAUUGAGUACAUCUAGGAUAAAAAGGAUAUGGGCUCCUAUUCAAUAACCUCUGCAGAUCCUGAAAAAAAUCACAGGGAACUUACAGAGUUCAAUCUGUAUAUACCAUUUUUUGUUUUAUUUAUCAAGGCCAAUCGACAAUGGAUGUACUGGCGCUCUGCUUUGGAUAGUAACAAGCUUUGACUGUGAACUCCCUUUCCCAUUCANCUCUACUUUAGUUUGUCUCCUCUGGGGUUUUGUGCUUGUUCCAGUUUAAGUAGCAACUCUAUUGCGGUGUUUAGCUUCCAAUCCCGCUAAUACUUUCUGAACAUAAUACCCCAUGGGUUCCCAAUUUUGCAGUAAUCUAUGCAUGCUUUAGGGUGCAUCCCAAGUUGGAAUUGUUCUUGGAAUUCUUCCUUUAAGGUAUAUUUGUCUUCUUUAAGGAAUUAUUUCAAUCCAUUUGUUGUGCCAGAGGCUAAUAUGUUCUUCACCUCCUUCAUCAAAGUAGAUGUGGGAGCUGAAUUAUUCCCAAUAUAUGUGCUUCCAGGGUGUGAACCCACGUAGGCUGUUGUCACCUUUGUGCACCAGUGAUUCUGCUCUCCAAAUUUAGCAAGUUCAAACCCUUUUCCUGAGUCCCAUUAUCUUUGUCAAGAGGGUUUAGGUCCAGAUGUGUCACUUGCAUGAUUUGAUUAUAAAUGCUUUUUUUCAAUAAUAGUGGCAUCCGGUCCAGCUUACGCGCUCCUUCAUUAUUCCACCAGGUACCUGCCAUCUCUCCCAAUAAUAGGUACCGGGUAACUCUGCCCACCAAAUGGGAAAAAAUCACCUUGUGCUUUUGACUAUAAAUGCUUCUAAUCCUGGUCUCUACUCUUCUGUCCUACUUGAUUGGUCAUCCAACCUUUGAUUUAGAGAAUAGAAGAGCUUUAACACACGUAGAAGUAUGUUGUGCUUAUCUUGAUGUUCGCAUUCUUAUAUUUUCUUUCUCAGUCAGACAGAUAAAGAAAGUUACACCUUCCUCCCAAUAUGUAGACAUAAUAGUAGGAAGCUAGAAAAAUUAAAUCUCACUAUUUUCAAUCAUGAAAAAACUUUUUUGUGCUCAUUAUUGUAUAUUUAUACUUUUAUAUUCUUCACCCUCCCUCAUGUUGUGAAGCCUCAUUUAGUUCUUUUAACUUCAGUUGUUUAUGACAGUAUCCAGGAAGUUGUUGGUUCGAUUUUCUUCUUGUUGUGUUGUUACUAGUAGCUAAUAUAGUUUCUUCUUUCGCGGGAUUAUAAAGUAACUUUUGGUUGCAAAUUUUUGAUUAUCUUGGAAGAUCUUCGGACAUCGAUUCUUCUUCACCUGUUGAAUAUCUAAGCUGCAGAUCGAGGUGGUGAAUCCAGACCUACGGCUGGAGUAUUAAAUCUGAAACAAGUGUAUUUUUGUUCAUAAUGUAAUUUUUUUCUAUAUUUUUGUUCCAGUCGGACAACUAAUUGAAGAUCUUGGUGGACAAAAA
rnacentral:lncRNA from 1 species